UGAUUUAUGCAAAUGUAUUUAGUUGAAGGUUUAAAAGAGGAGCAGCUUGCGAGGAGGUGAUUUACCAUGAAGUCCUUGUAUGAAUUUUUUUUCUAUGACGGGUAUCUUCAUGAAAUCUGGAACGGAUUAUUGUCAACGGCAACGGUGUAAUCUCUGAAAAAAUCGUUCAGUUCGGACCACUGUAUUAUAUAAUAGCUGUCUUACAAGCCGAUUAAAAUCAAGUUCUCAUAUGGAAAACUUUUUUAUUUGUGAAAAGUAUUAUUAUAGCUGCAGUGCAACUGAAGUUAAUGUUUUUUUAUUCAGUUAUUUUUGCCAUAUUAUUUACGAUGUAUAUAUUUUUUUAUUUAUUGUGUUUUUACGUUCUUGUGGAUAUUCUUUACCGUAAACAUUUAAAUUAACAUUCACAAACAAUAACUUUUCCAAAAAGAAAUUGGGCAAAUGUAUUUAGUUCAUCAACUUUAGAGAAAAAAUGGCUGGUAACCUUAAUAUAACCUCAAACAUUUGUUUUGAUAAGAACACACCACACUGGUCGUCGGUCAGUGAAAUUCAAGUACUACUGCUUACUAUUAUAUUCUAUAUUAUUGUUAAUACAAAUGGAUGGAGUUAAUUUGUUCACACAAUUCGUGGCCCAACACAAACCGCAAUUGGAAUCGUCUGGUGUACCACAGCAUUUUUGGAAAUCGUUGCAUCGUAAAUUGUCAAAGGAAAUUUUUGACGCCGGCUUAUCGCUACAAUUAUUGUUGAUUGAUUACGAAGGUGAUGAAGAGAAUGGCUCAGAAACAGCAGUUGUUAGUGCAAACAACACAAGAAGGCCAGUCGCUGAGGAACCACGUCCAAUGUUUGCUCUUACGUUAGCGCGUGAAGGUGGAAUUAAGGCCUCCGAUCCAGAUGCUAUAUAUCUCAUUGAUCACGCGUGGACAUUCCGCUUGAAUAUGGCUAGACAGCAACUAUCCCAACAUGAACAGUUAACUGAUCGUAUGUGUGCCAUAAUGGGUGUCGAUAUUGAUGUUGAAGAUCGUAUUGAUCAAAUCUUGGUUAAAAUGUGGCGUUAUUGUCUUUCAUACACUAUUGCCAGUAAUGAUCUACCUGAUGAAGAAAGACUUCCUAUUUGGUAUGUGAUGGAUGAAGUUGGUUCCGCCGUAAGCCACAGGGAUGAUCCUAAUUUUCGUGUGGUUCCGUUUCUAUAUCUAAAUAACCAAACAACAUAUAGCCUACUUUUUCCCAUACGUGAUUGUGAUUAUGAAGAAUAUGUAACGCGUGAUUUUUUAGAAUACGUGUGCAGGGAUCAUGCAGAACGGGAAGCUCUAUUAUUGCCAUGGCGUGCUACUGAUCUACGUGAAUAUUCAUUUAUGCAAGUAGAACCUGAUUCAGAGUACUUUACCACGGGUCAUAUACCAGAAACGUUCCCUGAAGGAGACACUGCUCAAUUGAAACCUCAAGUAAAUCGUAAUCAACCACUAAAGGUUUAUAGUGAAUAUGAUGUGGUAAGCACACAUCUCACAGAUCCUUGUUUUCAAUUAGUUGGCAACCAAUCGGAAGCUGAUGUUCUUUGGUUAACACAUCACUAUAAGGAAUUUGCUGAAUUAGCCCUUAAUACGCCGAACAAGUUUAUAAAUCAAUUCCCCUAUGAAUAUGUUCUGACAAUCAAAGAUUUACUGGCAAUUACUGGGAGGCGUGCAGCACAGGAACAUCACAAUCCAUCUACAUUGGAAACAUAUCCUCGCUGGCUGCCAACCACAUUUAACUUAAAGACGGAAUUGCUACAAUUUGCAUCAUAUUAUCAGCAUCGUGUUGCAAAAGGUCUUGACAAUCACUGGAUUGUGAAACCAUGGAAUUUAGCGCGUGGAAUGGACACCCACAUAACGGACAGUAUUGUACAAAUUAUGCGACUGCCGAUAACUGGACCGAAAGUCGCCCAGAAAUAUAUCGAACGGCCGGUAUUAUUUAAACGUAAUGAACUAGACGCUGAGGUCAAAUUUGAUAUACGAUAUGUGAUAUUGGUUAAGAGUUUUCAACCACUAGAAGCUUACAUACAUAGAAAAUUCUUUCUACGAUUUGCUAAUAAGUCAUUUAGUCUAAAUAACUUCGAUGACUACGAGCAACACUUCACUGUAAUGAACUAUCAUGAGGAGGCAGAAUUACGACACAUAAAAUGUGAGGAGUUCUUGGGUUAUUGGAAGGAGCAGUAUCCCAGACAUGAUUGGUCAUCAAUUCAAAAGGACAUAUGUUUGAUGUUACAUGAGAUACUAAGUUGUGCAUCUAAGCGUCCGCCCCCCUGUGGUAUACCACCUUGCCAGCAAUCUCGUGCAUUGUAUGCCGCCGACAUAAUGCUUGAGUGGGUAAAAUCAGAAGACAAUAAAACAAGUCAAAUGACACCCAAAUUGUUGGAGAUCAACUGGACACCGGAUUGUAAACGUGCAUGUGAUUACUAUCCAGAUUUCUUUAAUGAUAUUUUCAAAUUACUCUUUCUCGAUGAGACCAAUAAUGAAAGUUUUCUUCAACUGGAAGCGAGCUCUUAGCUAUGCUUAGUAAGCUGCAUAACUAUUCAAAAGUAUUUAUUAUAAAUGCAUUUAAAUAAAAAAUAAUGCGCAGCACAAUAAGUUUAAAAAAGUAGUUUUAUGUAGUAGUAGUGAUAAUAGGGAAAUUUUAAACUGAUGUCCAGCAAUUAAUAACUUAAAUAUUAAUUGUGUAUGUAAUGGAAAACUUAAACAAGUCUAUAUAAGUUAUAAAUAAAUAUUCUUAAAUAUAGUUAUAAGGGUUAAAAAAGAAGAUAAAUAAAAAAAAUGCAACUUAAAAUUGCAUUUCAGUGACUUUUCUGGCUUUCACUGAACAUGCCUUGUAGACAUUUGGAGAGAAUUUGCGAAAACGAGAAUUGGCGAAAACUAGAAUUUUGACAUUUGUGAUUUUUCUUUGUUGGUAUUAAUUUAUUUGGUGUGGUUGAAGUUGAAAGUUAUCGUGUGAAAUAUAUGCAGAUAUGAGUAUUUAUUGAUAAUAAAUAAAGAACAGAAGUUAAAUUAUAUUAAUCCUAAAAUAUCUGCAGUUCUAACCAGAUAAAUUGGCGAAACAGUGGAGUAUGUAUCGAAAAUUACUUUAGUUUUUAUUUUUUUACAUACCCAAUUCAUAUUGAAAACCACUUACGGCUAUAUAAGCACUAGUAAAUGUAGAUUAUGUCAGUAAGUGAUGCCGAUGAAAUACGAUCAGCUGCUGAAUUGCUGAUAACAAGCUCUAGACACCCCAUGUCCUAUCGCAGCACAAUGAGUGGGCCAAUGUCCCCCAACUAUGAUAUGUCACGUACACAUUCCAUCAAUUUGAUCACCGAAGAAUUUCUCGGCGGUUAUAUGCAGGAUGGACGCAUGUCCGUGGUACGUAGGUUUUUUUGUCUCUUCGUGCUGUUCGACUUGUUUUUUGUAUCGCUACUCUGGUUAAUUUGCAUAAUGAUCAAUGGCGACAAUAUAUUUCAAGCAUUUCAGAAACAAAUCGUCCAUUACACGUUUGGCACAUCGCUAUUCGAUGUAGUCGGAGCCGCCAUAUGUCGUUUUGUAGUUCUUACAUUUUUCUAUGCGUUAAUGUACAUAAACCAUUGGAUUAUAAUUGCCUUAUCUACGAGCGGUUCAUGCCUAUUUUUAAUCUCCAAAGUCUUCGUUUACGAUUGGGUUGAUUCGCGCCAACAGGUUUUCGAGGUAAUACUGAUUAUAACAUCAUUUGUGUUGGCUUGGGGAGAGGCUUGGUUUCUGGAUUGUCGCGUUAUACCACAGGAGCGCCACGCGCGUAGCUAUUUUUCCUCAAUAACAACUCCAGAACAGCGUUCGCCAAUGAUGGCAACAUUUUUGGCUUCCCAACCGGAUCGUAAUGUUCCGGAGAGUAUUUUUUAUUCACCACUAGAGACAGUGCACAACAGCGAUGACGAUGACGAUGAACAGGAUGAAGAAUAUCACCAAAUGGCUUUGGAUUGUGUGCGUAGAGCGUACGAACUUUUCGAAUCGCCCGAUUGGAAAGUGGAAAAGGUGACGAGCAAAGGUGAUACUAUACGAAGUACGCAACGUGAGAAGCUGGGAAAAAUUUACCGACUUACAGGACGUAUCAAGUAUCCACCCAAGGCAUUGCUGGAAGAACUUUUCUACCGAAUUGAAAGUGUGCCCAAGUGGAACCCGACUUUACUCGAAUCGAAAAUUGUGCAUAAAAUCAACUCGUAUACAGAUAUUACAUACCAAGCCAGUGUUGGCGGUGGCGGUGGCAUCGUGAAGAGUCGCGAUUUCAUUAAUCUGCGUUGUUGGCGACUUUUUCGUAAUGGUAAAAUGUGUGAAGAAUCUGAUGACGAUGAAGCUGAUAGUGGCAGUGAUACUGCUGGUCCGGCUAGUGUUUCCACUGUCUCGGAUGAUGACUCUGUAACGACCACACAACCCAGCAGUGUCGAAAGCAAUCGUGCGAAAUUCUCCAGCAGCAGCAGUGUAAAGGGUAUGCGUGAAAGCGGUAGCGGCGCUGGUGGCGAUGAAGAAAAUCGCAGUGGUAGCGUAAAGGGUGGACAUGGUGGACCCGCAUUUAAAACAUUAAGCAAAAGUUUGGGUGCAAAAGAAUUUAGUACAAUUGUGCGUAUUGAUCCUGAUGAGCCGCCACCAUUCGAAGAGGACACAUUCGAGGAUGCGCAUGAUAAUGUUGAUGAUUUAACGCGUCUCGUGCAGAAAGAGGCACGUGCGGAAAUGCAAACUGCACAACAGGAAAGCGCUGAUACUGGAGAUGGUGCGGCCGUAAGCGGUGCGCUGGGGGCGAAGGGCAAAAAUAAAGUAUAUUUAAGUGCGGCCAUUAGUAUUGAUUAUGCGCCGGUGCCGCCCACAACUAAGUAUAUACGUGGUGAAAAUAUUGUGGCCGGAUUUGCACUUCACGAGAUUGCUGGUAAAUCGGAUGCCUGCAUAUUCGACUGGAUUUUUUGUUUGGACUUAAAGGGUUACAUACCACGUUAUGUUUUAGACACUGCCUACACCACUUUCAUGAAUGACUAUAUGAAAUAUUUACGUAAAUAUGUAGCUGAAUUACGCACAAAACGUAAACGUAUGUCUAGAAAAUAGUCGACUUUGAAUAGGGUCGGUAUGUAGCUGCUAACAAAAGCGGGUAUUAUCUAAUAGUAAAUAAGUUUUUGUAGCUUUUCCAUUAUGUGUGUGUGGAACGUAUUAUUUUUACAAUAUAGUGCACAAACAUCUUCAUUUAUACCAACAAAAACAAAAAAAAAACCACAUGCUAAAACCAAUAUAAUACUUAAAAGUUGUUUACAAAAAUCUAAAAAAUAGGAAAAUUAUAGAACUGACAUAGAUCUUUAUUAUUGUAAUAUUUUUACAAAUUAACUGUUACUAAUGGAAAUUGAGCAUGUUUCAAAUAAUUAAAAAAAAAAAAAAUGUAAAUGCUUGCCCAAAGCUUUGCUAACUAUUUAUUUUAAAAUUGAAAAGUGGAAUAUUUUUUUAAACGAUUAGGUCCGUCAUAUAAGAAAAAAGUGAAAUUUUGUACGCUCACAUCCGUACAUAUAUAUUUACAUAGUUAGGUUAAAGCAAAUUUUCCAAGCUUCUCUAUUUUCAUAUAAAACAUCAUUUCGUUGAAAUAACUGUGUUUUUCUCGGCAUUUUGUGUCUGUGUGGCAUGUAAAAAUUCAUCGUUUUUCAAUAUUUCCUAACAUAUUAAGUGAUAAUAUACAGUUUGUAAUCAAUAAAUAUAAUGUAACAAAUAUAAAACAAUAAUCAAAAUCAAAAGGACUGAUGAAUGAUCAAUUUCUGAUGCUAAUUAAUAUGGCUGUUUUAUUAUUGGUUAAUAUAUAUUUCAGAUGAAGAUCCCAAAGUUUCAAGCUAAAAUCUCAAGCUUCUUGUACAACAAUGGCAUCUACCAAAACAUUUUGAUGGAGGAAGAAAAGUAGAUAUCCUUAAUGUAUAUGUAUACAAAUAUUUUUUUUACAUGUGUAUUUACAUACAUAUAUACACACAUACAUAUGCAUAUAUCUGCAUUCUAAAAAUGUAAUUGGAAAUCCAAUAACACAAAAUAAUUAUAUAUGUAUAUGCAUGCAAUUUGUCAUACUCAGUUUAUUUACGUACUACCAAAAUAAUAGCGCAUAGUUUAAGCACCCCUCAACCUAAUCGAAAUGUAAACAAAUCACCCCCCUCACCGUUAACCAAAACAGUCAAAGUUGAAGUAGCAACGAUAGCGACAGUGGCAGCAAGUCGGUGUAAUCAAUGCACGCCAUCACCAAGAACACCGUGCAAAAUAAUAAAUAACAACUGCGCCACCCUCAUUUUUAGGCAGAGACUUUUACCCGCAUACGUCCCAAUAGUUUUUCCUUUUCGAGUUUGUAUGAGCGGCGUAAGGAUUUAGAGCCAAGAAGCACUUUGUAACUCCAGUAGCUGACCAAGAGUGUUGUAGUGCGGUAGCAAAUUCUAUAUUUAAAUCGUUUGCUAUAUCACUCAAAACUAAAAGUCAAAAUCAAAACUGAAAAUUGGCCUCAUAUGAAAAAUUAAAUGUUAAAAAUUUUGAUUUUAAUGCAAAAUUUCGCUUUUGUGUAUUCGUUAAAAAAUUUCUGUCAAAAUUUUGUAAGAGGCGAUGGCCGAAUUGCUAUCGCGCGAAAAAGAAUUCAUUAAAUUGAAUCAAGAGUUGGACCAGCUAAACGUCACAUCAUUGGAUCAACAAUUACAACAGCAUCAAAAACAAUUGCAGCAUCAACAUCCCAAUUGUAAUAGUGUGGGGAAUAGCGGCAGUAGCGGUAGUGCUGCUGGUACGAACACUGGGAGCGCCAUUUAUAGCGGCACAUCCAAGUCAACGACUAACAAGACUGAUCAACGAUAUUUCACCUAUACAAAGUCUAAGGGAGCAAGCACUUUGCUCAAAAAGCGUUUCAAUAAUGCUACGGCGAGUGUUGGAAUAAGUGCCAAUGGAGCUGGCGAUGGUGCCUCCGAUAUGCUCCCCGAUCUACCCACAGAACGUAACAAUACACAUCGUACACAUACAGCACGUAAAUCGACGCAACAGUCAUCCACAUCAAAUACGCCCAGCAUACGUCCGGAUGGUGAUAAUGUUUUAACAGCACACUCAGAGACGCCGAAAACCAAUCGGACGAGCAGUACAUUGCAUAGGAAGCAAAUUAAGAGUCCGGAAAGUGGCACACGUCCGUACGGACGUUCGAGUAAUUGCAGUUCAAGGGUCAAAGAGUCGGCUUUCACGGUUAAAUAUCGUAAUCCGAAAUUCGUACAGAGUCCCUCUUUGGAGGUGCUGAUACGUGAUGAGAGCGCCUCGAUGCGUGCGAAGGCCAGCGGGGAAAUUGACGAUGGUUACUCCUCGCGGCGUUCGCUUGAGACUGGCCGAAAGCAUAUUAGUCCCGAUGGACUCAUUAAAUUUCUCAAAUCCAAAAUAGCCAUACUUGAAGAGGAUCACGAACGCAUUUCACAAGAGAUGACACAACAAAAGGAGCUGCUCGAAAAGACAUUGGAACGCAACAAGAAAAUCGAACAGCAACGCGAUCAGGCGUUCGCCAAACACAAUGCAAUUGCCGAACAAUUGAGCAAGACUGAGACACAACUUGAGGAGGUGAAUAGGCGUAUGAAGGAGCGUAACAUCGAACAGGGUGGUCAACAGAAGGAGCUCGAGACAGUUCGUCGUGAGCUGAAAAUGUUGUCUCAAACUAACACCAAUCUCGAGAAGCGUUUGUAUCGUGCCAAUGAAGAGUUGGAGAAUACGAAGAGCGCAUUGGCGUUGCUAAAGAAUGCCGAACGUGAACUCAAAGAGUCGAUGCGUGUCGAUGGCGAGACCAAGGAUAAACAGAUUAAAAGUUUGAAGAAGCAACGUGCUGAUCUACUCAACGCUUACAAGAAACAACUCUUUAUUAUUGACAAUCUCAAGCGACAGAAUAUUUGUAUGGAACAAUCGAAGAUGAUUAGUUUCGGCGAAAAAGAAUUCGCAAAAGUACUCGAGUGGAAUACUAAGUUGUAGGUGGAAUAUGAAUGACAUUUGUGAUAAAUGUAUCAUUUUGUCAUUCAUGUUAUAUGCCUAAGUACUCAACUAUUUGCAUGUCCAUGCAUUGACAUUAACCUGCUAAGUCCAACGAUAUCAAGUCCUUCCACAUGCGUGUGAAUAUUUUAAAGAUAAUUUCAACAUAUAUGGGUCUAAACCAUUAUUGUGGUAUUUAUGAGUAAGUAAUACUUAUUAAUAAAGAUUGCAUUGUAUAAA